CCUACGGGAGGCAGCAGUGGGGAAUAUUGGACAAUGGGGGGAACCCUGAUCCAGCGACGCCGCGUGAGUGAAGAAGUAUUUCGGUAUGUAAAGCUCUAUCAGCAGGGAAGAAAGAAAUGACGGUACCUGACUACGAAGCCCCGGCUAACUACGUGCCAGCAGCCGCGGUAAUACGUAGGGGGCAAGCGUUAUCCGGAUUUACUGGAUGUAAAGGGAGCGUAGACGGCGAUGCAAGUCUGAAGUGAAAGGCGGGGGCCCAACCCCCGGACUGCUUUGGAAACUGUAUGGCUGGAGUGCAGGAGAGGUAAGUGGAAUUCCUAGUGUAGCGGUGAAAUGCGUAGAUAUUAGGAGGAACACCAGUGGCGAAGGCGGCUUACUGGACUGUAACUGACGUUGAGGCUCGAAAGCGUGGGGAGCAAACAGGAUUAGAUACCCUGGUAGUC
rnacentral:rRNA from 1 species